AACGCACAUUGCGCCUCCCUUUACCGGGAGGCAUGCCUGUCUGAGCGUCAUUUAACCAAUAAACACAUUUGUUUACAUUUGCUUACGUAAUGUUUGUUUACAUUCCUUUGUUUGCAUUUGCUUACAUAAUGUUUGUUUUGGGUUUCACCUUUGGGUGUUACCUUAAAGUAAUGGGUCUAAAUUAGCGGACGAGAUCCUUCAAGGACUAACCGUGAGUCAGACCAUAUAAAUCUCUGAUUUUGACCUCAGAUCAGGUAGGGAUACCGCCUGAACUUAA
rnacentral:misc_RNA from 1 species